rnacentral:rRNA from 1 species
UACGUAGGGCGCAAGCGUUAUCCGGAAUUAUUGGGCGUAAAGAGCUCGUAGGCGGUUUGUCGCGUCUGCCGUGAAAGUCCGGGGCUCAACUCCGGACCUGCGGUGGGUACGGGCAGACUAGAGUGAUGUAGGGGAGACUGGAAUUCCUGGUGUAGCGGUGAAAUGCGCAGAUAUCAGGAGGAACACCGAUGGCGAAGGCAGGUCUCUGGGCAUUAACUGACGCUGAGGAGCGAAAGCAUGGGGAGCGAACAGG